UUUCAAAGCUCCAGGGGCGACUCUGGCGCGUUGUAGACUAAAGGAGCGUUAUCCAUUUUGUACAGCUCAGGUACAGAUCCGUUGGAACGCGGUAUCAUAGAGGGUGAGAAUCCCGUCCAUGACCUGAGUGAAUUUUUUUCUGUGCAUUAUUGCGUUGCGCUUCCGAAGAGUCGGGUUGUUUGGGAAUGCAGCCCAAAAUGGGUGGUAAACUUCAUCUAAGGCUAAAUACUGGCAUGAGACCGAUAGCGAACAAGUACCGUGAGGGAAAGAUGAAAAGCACUUUGAAAAGAGAGUCAAAAAGUACGUGAAACCGUUAAAAGGGAAACGAAUGGGGCUAGCAUUUGCACUUGAUUGCAAUCAGCCGGACGCUUAUUUGGAUGUGACGGUGGUACUUUUUUUUUGUUUUAGAGAGCUCUCUGAGCGUACCGAAAGGUGCGAUGCUAGGGGGCCUCACGCCGUUACAAAUCAUUUUUCCAAGUAGGUGGGAGAGCCGGUGCACUUGCGGUCAGUGUCAGGCCAACAUCAGUUCGGUUAUUCUUGCCAAACGAAGGAGACAGGAACCUUAAGGGGAAGGUGGCUGUUAUAAUACGUUUUAUAUGUGUUGUAGCAGCGUUAUAGCCCCUUUUGGAAAAUUUUCUAACGUCGCGGCCCGGACUGAGGAAACGCAGCAGCACGCGUUUUUUUUGAAUGGUUUUUUGCUGUUCAAAAAGGAUAAACUUGCAGAGCUUCGGCUGGGUUGCCAGGCAACCUGUGACUGUUCCAAAAAGGGGCAGUGGCAGAAGUCUAUUUGUGCAGCUCACUUACAAGCCACUGAAGUUUACGCAUUAUACGUGCUUGUGAUGUUGGCGAAAUGGCCUUCAUCUGACCCGUCUUGAAACACGGACCAAGGAGUCUAACAUAUGCGCGAGUCUUUGGGUGACAAACCCGCAGGCACAAUGAAAGUGAAGGCGCGCCAUUUUUUGUCGCACGCCGAGGUGAGACGCCUCUUUAUUAUAGAAGGGGCCGCAUCAUCGACCGAUCCGGAAGGGUCAAGCUGAGUAAGGUUCGUCCUCUCUGGCUUGAAUUUCUGAAAGAUUUGAGUAAGAGCGCAUCUGUUGGGACCCGAAAGAUGGUGAACUAUGCCUGAACAGGGUGAAGUCUGAGGAAACUCAGAUGGAAGCUCGCAGCGAUUCUGACGUGCAAAUCGAUCGUCUGAUUUGGGUAUAGGGGCGAAAGACUAAUCGAACCAUCUAGUAGCUGGUUCCCUCCGAAAUUUCCCUCAGGAUAGCUGGAACUCGAAACGCAGUUUUAUCAGGUAAAGCGAAUGAUUAGAGGCCUUGGGGUCGAAAUGACCUCAACCUAUUCUCAAACUUUAAAUAGGUAAGAAGUGCGGCUUGCUUAAGUGAAGUCGUGCCAACCGAAUGCAAGAGUUUCAAGUGGGCCAUUUUUGGUAAGCAGAACUGGCGAUGCGGGAUGAACUGAACGCGAAGUUAAAGUGCCAAAGUUCACGCUCACCUAGAACCCAUAAAAGGUGUUGGCUGAUGAAGACAGCAGGACGGUGGCCAUGGAAGUCGGAAUCCGCUAAGGAGUGUGUAACAACUCACCUGCCGAAUCAGCCAGCCCUGAAAAUGGAUGGCGCUCAAGCGUGACACUUAUACUUUGCCGUUGCCGUAAACAAAGCAGAUGCAUACUCUUUAUUUUACCGCAACGAGUAGGAGGGCGUGGAGAUACGUGAAGCAGCUUCGGGCGUGAGCCUGAGUGAAACUGUC
rnacentral:rRNA from 1 species